rnacentral:snRNA from 1 species
GGAUGUGAGGGCAAUCUGGAUGUGACAUCUGUCACCUCAAUGAUUGUCAGGGUUGAUAUGGCUGAUCUGGCUUGGUUGGGUGGGUGUCCCCUUCUUCUCUCCCCAUUCCAUGUGCCUCCCUCUGGAAGCUGCGCGCUGGGUCUCAGCAGUUGGCUGCAUUCCCCACAGCGGAGGACCAUUCUUCUUCGGCCAAGGGCAUAUGAGUAGCUGCUCUCUUCUGCUAGAACCUCCAUACAAGCUCUCCAGGUGCAUUUGUAGGAGAUGUUGGGUAGUCAAGCUUCCAUGACUCUGGACACAUCCAAAUGAGGCGCUGUAUGUGGCAGUCUGCCCCUUCUCUUU